AGUGAACGCUGGCGGUAGGCCUAACACAUGCAAGUCGAACGGCAGCACAGAGGAGCUUGCUCCUUGGGUGGCGAGUGGCGGACGGGUGAGGAAUACAUCGGAAUCUACUCUGUCGUGGGGGAUAACGUAGGGAAACUUACGCUAAUACCGCAUACGACCUACGGGUGAAAGCAGGGGACCUUCGGGCCUUGCGCGAUUGAAUGAGCCGAUGUCGGAUUAGCUAGUUGGCGGGGUAAAGGCCCACCAAGGCGACGAUCCGUAGCUGGUCUGAGAGGAUGAUCAGCCACACUGGAACUGAGACACGGUCCAGACGACUACGGGAGGCAGCAGUGGGGAAUAUUGGCCAAUGGGCGCAAGCCUGAUCCAGCCAUACCGCGUGGGUGAAGAAGGCCUUCGGGUUGUGAAGCCCUGUUGUUGGGAAAGAAGUCCAGCUGGCUAAUACCCGGUUGGGAUGACGGUACCCAAAGAAUAAGCACCGGCUAACUUCGUGCCAGCCGCCGCGGUAA
rnacentral:rRNA from 1 species